UUAUCAACUCUCUAAGUCUAACCCAACGGCUAACCAUCUCACACUCACAGACUGACAUUCAACCAUGGAGGCAGCAGCACCACCACCAGCGAAACAUACCACCACCACAGCGCCACCAAUCCUCGGCAGCGUAGUAGCUCUAGAUACGACCGUCUCCCGACAUCUCCACAUCCUCGCCAAACCCUUCCUCCCCUAUUCCCUCCUCCUCCUCCUCGAACUCUCCGCCGACUUCCGCUUCUUCUUCCCUCUCUCUCUCUCCCUCCUCCUUGCCCCAACCCUAACCCUAACCCCUAUCCCGAUCCCAUCCCCAAGCCCAACCCAAAUCCUCCGUCCACUCCUCUCCCCACUCAUCCUCGGCCUCCUCCUCGACCUCGCCGUCGUCGGCCUAAUCAAACUCCUCUUCCGCCGCUCCCGCCCUCUCUACAACAAGAACAUGAGCGUCGCCGUUUCGGUGGACCAUUUCUCCUUCCCCAGUGGGCACGCCUCUCGGGUUUGCUUCGUUGCCUCCCUCUUACACCUCUCCGCCGUCGCCCUCGCCGAUGCCCUCGCCAACCUACGGUCAUCGUCUCCCUUCGUUGAUCGUUGGAUCGGCACGGACCAGGUCAAUGCCGUGAGUAUUUUGGUCUCGGUUGCUUGGGCCUGGGCCGCCGGCACCUCCGUCUCUAGGGUUUUGCUGGGCAGGCAUUUCGUCACCGACGUUUUCGCCGGGGCGUGUUUGGGAGUGCUUGAGGCUCUCGUUUCGUUUCACUUCCUGAGGUUCUAAGCUUCCGACUGUAAAUUGUAGGACGGUUCCAGACUGGAGCAACCUCGAAGGCAAUGUGGUGAAAAUACUUUGUCAAGAUGAAAGUAGAGAUAUCGUUGCGAAGUAUAAAGAAACUCUUAAGGGGCAGUAGCAUCCAGAUGUAAUGAGAAUUAUAUUGAGUUCAGCUGGUGAAAGAGAUGCUGGCAAAUUAUGUGCUUCUUCAGUGGUACCUUCCAUGCUUUCACUGGCUCCCAUUACUCUUUCACUGGAUUUAUUGAAAGGAAAAAUGAUUGUUGGCUCAAUCAUUGACGAAACAUUUUUUCAUAAGCUUUAUUCGAUGGACGGAUUGUUUGAUUCACGCUUAGAAACUCGAGAGAUAACUGUUGAAUACUAUGAACAUUGCUUGGGUUCUUACAUAUGAAGACUCAUUCCUCAAUCCUCAUCACCUGCAAAUAGGGAUGAGGCAAAAUACCUAGGAGUAUGGGUAAAUUGCGGUUACCCGCUCAUGUAAGACUCAUGGUUACAGUUAUGAGUAACCGUUUUAAAAAAUAAAUGGUUUUGGGUAUAAUAAUUUAUCCGUGAAAUAUAAGUGAGUUGUUAUGGGUAUUACUGCGGUUAUAAAGGGAUACUUA